AAUGAACGCUGGCGGCGUGCCUAACACAUGCAAGUUGAGCGGUAAGGCCCCUUCGGGGGUACACGAGCAGCGAACGGGUGAGUAUCGCGUGGGUAAUCUACCUAGAGGUGGGGGAUAGCCUCGGGAAACCGAGGGUAAUACCGCAUGAGUCCUCGACGACACAAGUCGACGAGGGGAAAGGCGGGGCUCCUUCGGGACCUGUCGCCUUUGGAUGAGCCCGCGUCCGAUUAGCUAGUUGGUGGGGUAAUGGCCUACCAAGGCAGCGAUCGGUAGCCGGCCUGAGAGGGUGAACGGCCACAUUGGGACUGAGACACGGCCCAGACUCCUACGGGAGGCAGCAGUGGGGAAUUUUGGGCAAUGGGGGAAACCCUGACCCAGCGACGCCGCGUGGAGGAUGACGGCCUUCGGGUUGUAAACUCCUGUCAGGUGGGAAGAAGAGCCAGUCGGAUAAUACCCGGCAGGAAUUGACGGUACCACCAAAGGAAGCCCCGGCUAACUCCGUG
rnacentral:rRNA from 1 species